rnacentral:rRNA from 1 species
CCUACGGGCGGCAGCAGUGAGGAAUAUUGGUCAAUGGCCGGAAGGCUGAACCAGCCAUGCCGCGUGAAGGUCAGUGCCCUAUGGGCGUUAAACUUCUUUUGUGCGGGAGCAAUAAUGGUCACGUGUGGCCAGACGAGAGUACCGUACGAAUAAGCAUCGGCUAACUCCGUGCCAGCAGCCGCGGUAAUACGGGGGAUGCAAGCGUUAUCCGGAUUUAUUGGGUUUAAAGGGUGCGUAGGCUGUGAGGUAAGUCAGCGGUGAAAUGCCCCCGCUCAACGGGGUGAAGUGCCAUUGAUACGGCCUGGCUGGAAUGCGGAUGCCGUGGGAGGAAUGUGUGGUGUAGCGGUGAAAUGCAUAGAUAUCACACAGAACACCGAUUGCGAAGGCAUCUCACGAAGCCGCGAUUGACGCUGAUGCACGAAAGCGUGGGUAUCAAACAGGAUUAGAUACCCUAGUAGUC